rnacentral:ncRNA from 1 species
CAGAGUAGGAUAAUGCGCGUAAAGUGCCCGAGGGACGGGGAGUUGUCCUCGGGACGAACACCACACGGUGGCGGUGCAUUGUCCGCAUCUCGCUG